UGGGGAAUUUUGGACAAUGGGCGAAAGCCUGAUCCAGCAAUGCCGCGUGUGUGAAGAAGGCCUUCGGGUUGUAAAGCACUUUUGUCCGGAAAGAAAUCCUUGGCUCUAAUACAGUCGGGGGAUGACGGUACCGGAAGAAUAAGCACCGGCUAACUACGUGCCAGCAGCCGCGGUAAUACGUAGGGUGCAAGCGUUAAUCGGAAUUACUGGGCGUAAAGCGUGCGCAGGCGGUUUGCUAAGACCGAUGUGAAAUCCCCGGGCUCAACCUGGGAACUGCAUUGGUGACUGGCAGGCUAGAGUAUGGCAGAGGGGGGUAGAAUUCCACGUGUAGCAGUGAAAUGCGUAGAGAUGUGGAGGAAUACCGAUGGCGAAGGCAGCCCCCUGGGCCAAAUACUGACGCUCAUGCACGAAAAGCGUGGGGGAGCAAAACAGGAUUAGAUACCCUGGUAGUCCACGCCCUAAACGAUGUCAACUAGUUGUUGGGGAUUCAUUUCCUUAGUAACGUAGCUAACGCGUGAAGUUGACCGCCUGGGGAGUACGGUCGCAAGAUUAAAACUCAAAGGAAUUGACGGGGUCAUAGCUGUUUCCU
rnacentral:rRNA from 1 species